rnacentral:lncRNA from 1 species
GGGAAAAUGGCCGACCAUGUAUUUUUUCUGCAAAUCAAUGGAUGAAUCCCAAAAUAUUAACCACAAAACAUUUCAUUGAUCAGCUCAUCAUUCCUAUUGUGAAAAAAAAACAUGAAAAAAGAGAGGAGAACUAAGUACAAAACAAAUUUGUCUCAUCUUCUUUGUAGGUCUCAUCUACCUGCCUGCUAAUUAAUUAUGGCUUGGAUUGGAUCUACUAGGAGGUAGCCUCUUCAAACUUGCAUUCACAGCUUUUGUAUCAAAUUCCAUGCCUACCCAUUCCAAAUCUUCGUCUUCUUCCUUCCUCUUCAUUUUCUUUUUCUUCAAGUUGGAAUUUUUGGGGGAAUCCAUGGAUUUGGGCAAUAAGCUUCUGGCAACUUGACCUGAUUUUCUGAAACCAGUGUUUUGGUGAGAAAGAUUAGAACAAGGGGGGGAGAUGACAAAAUGCAGAAUGAGCAAUACAGAUGAGAAGAGGAUAGAAGCCAUUACAAGGGUUUUCAUGAUGAAUGGAGAGUGAUGUUGGAGAUGCACAAAAUCAUAGUUUGGGUUUGGGUUUGGUUAUGAAAUGUGUAUAGUGUUUUGGCUGUGUGUUGUCAGUUUGAUAGUUCAGAAUCAUGUGACUUGUCUCUCUAACCAUCAAUGAAAUUAUGAAAUGAUUCCCAUUUUUGUGAAUAAAAAAAGAUGGUACCAGUCCAAGAAGCCCCAAACUGAAGAAAUGCUAUGGUUUUACAGUGCUCGCAGUUUUAAAUUGUAAUCAUUUCUUCUAAUCAUUAAUUAGAGCUCUCUUCAAUCCCUAUGUCUAUCCACUUACAUGUGAUGUCU